CCUACGGGCGGCUGCAGUGAGGAAUCUUGCGCAAUGGGCGAAAGCCUGACGCAGCGACGCCGCGUGACUGAUGAAGUCUUUCGGGAUGUAAAGGUCUUUUGCAGGGGACGAAGGAAGUGACGGUACCCUGCGAAUAAGCCCCGGCUAACUACGUGCCAGCAGCCGCGGUAAUACGUAGGGGGCGAGCGUUGUCCGAAUUCACUGGGCGUAAAGCGCGCGUAGGCGGGUUUUUAAGUUGUGGGUGAAAUUCCGAGGCUCAACCUCGUAACUGCCUGCAAAACUGGGAGCCUUGAGGUAUGGAGAGGGAAGUGGAAUUCCUGGUGUAGCGGUGAAAUGCGUAGAUAUCAGGAGGAACACCCGUGGCGAAGGCGGCUUCCUGGCCAUAUCCUGACGCUGAGGUGCGAAAGCUAGGGUAGCGAACGGGCUUAGAUACCCUAGUAGUC
rnacentral:rRNA from 1 species